AGUGAACGCUGGCGGUAGGCCUAACACAUGCAAGUCGAACGGCAGCACAGUAAGAGCUUGCUCUUACGGGUGGCGAGUGGCGGACGGGUGAGGAAUACAUCGGAAUCUACUUUUUCGUGGGGGAUAACGUAGGGAAACUUACGCUAAUACAGCAUACGACCUACGGGUGAAAGCAGGGGAUCUUCGGACCUUGCGCGAUUGAAUGAGCCGAUGUCGGAUUAGCUAGUUGGCGGGGUAAAGGCCCACCAAGGCGACGAUCCGUAGCUGGUCGGAGAGGAUGAUCAGCCACACUGGAACUGAGACACGGUCCAGACUCCUACGGGAGGCAGCAGUGGGGAAUAUUGGACAAUGGGCGCAAGCCUUAUCCAGCCAUACCGCGUGGGUGAAGAAGGCCUUCGGGUUGUAAAGCCCUUUUGUUGGGAAAGAAAAGCAGCAGGUUAAGACCCCGCUGUUCUGACGGUACCCAAAGAAUAAGCACCGGCUAACUUCGUG
rnacentral:rRNA from 1 species